rfam:Triticum aestivum genome assembly, contig: Triticum_aestivum_CS42_TGACv1_scaffold_195409_3AL
AAGAUACUCCCUCCGUCCAAAAAUACUUGUCCAAGAAAUAGAUAAAUUUGCGGAAAUGUCAUCUAGAACUAAAAUACGCCUAGAUACAUCCAGUCCUCCGACAAGUAUUUCCGGACGGAGGGAGUAUAUU